AUUGAACGCUGGCGGCAUGCUUUACACAUGCAAGUCGGACGGCAGCACAGAGAAGCUUGCUUCUUGGGUGGCGAGUGGCGAACGGGUGAGUAACAUAUCGGAACGUACCGAGUAAUGGGGGAUAACUAAUCGAAAGAUUAGCUAAUACCGCAUAUUCUCUGAGGAGGAAAGCAGGGGACCUUCGGGCCUUGCGUUAUUCGAGCGGCCGAUAUCUGAUUAGCUAGUUGGUGGGGUAAAGGCCUACCAAGGCGACGACCAGUAGCGGGUCUGAGAGGAUGAUCCGCCACACUGGGACUGAGACACGGCCCAGACUCCUACGGGAGGCAGCAGUGGGGAAUUUUGGACAAUGGGCGCAAGCCUGAUCCAGCCAUGCCGCGUGUCUGAAGAAGGCCUUCGGGUUGUAAAGGACUUUUGUCAGGGAAGAAAAGGCUGUUGCUAAUACCGACAGCUGAUGACGGUACCUGAAGAAUAAGCACCGGCUAACUACGUGCCAGCAGCCGCGGUAAUACGUAGGGUGCGAGCGUUAAUCGGAAUUACUGGGCGUAAAGCGAGCGCAGACGGUUACUUAAGCAGGAUGUGAAAUCCCCGGGCUCAACCUGGGAACUGCGUUCUGAACUGGGUGACUAGAGUGUGUCAGAGGGAGGUAGAAUUCCACGUGUAGUAGUGAAAUGCGUAGAGAUGUGGAGGAAUACCGAUGGCGAAGGCAGCCUCCUGGGAUAACACUGACGUUCAUGCUCGAAAGCGUGGGUAGCAAACAGG
rnacentral:rRNA from 1 species